rnacentral:rRNA from 1 species
GACGAACGCUGGCGGCGUGCCUAAUACAUGCAAGUAGAACGCUGAAGGAGGAGCUUGCUUCUCCGGAUGAGUUGCGAACGGGUGAGUAACGCGUAGGUAACCUGCCUGGUAGCGGGGGAUAACUAUUGGAAACGAUAUCUAAUACCGCAUAACAGUAGAUGUUGCAUGACAUUUGCUUAAAAGGUGCAAUUGCAUCACUACCAGAUGGACCUGCGUUGUAUUAGCUAGUUGGUGAGGUAACGGCUCACCAAGGCGACGAUACAUAGCCGACCUGAGAGGGUGAUCGGCCAAACUGGGACUGGGACACGGCCCAGACUCCUACGGGAGGCAGCAGUAGGGAAUCUUCGGCAAUGGACGGAAGUCUGACCGAGCAACGCCGCGUGAGUGAAGAAGGUUGUCGGAUCGUAAAGCUCUGUUGUAAGAGAAGAACGAGUGUGAGAGUGGAAAGUUCACACUGUGACGGUAUCUGACCAGAAAGGGACGGCUAACUACGUG